UCCAGGUUGUCUCCAGCAUGUUGACACUGCCUCCUGUUCUGUGUAUGGCACUGGUAGAAUUCACUGUGACAGCUUGCUAUCAGUGAAUUACCAUAGGGCCAUAAACAGAGCAGAGAAAGAACCGCACUCUUUUUUUUUUUUUUUUUUUUUUUUAGGGUUGGAUGCAGCAGUCUGUCCCUUCUUCUUUUUCUUCAGUACAUCCCUUUUUUUUCUUCUUCUUGUGCCCAUUUUGGCACUAGCACAUUUUUGCUUUUGUAUAUACGCUUUGAGCAAUUAUGUGUAGUGCCAAUAUGGGAGAAGACAGACUUGCAUCGCUUUUGUGUCUCCACUUGUGUCCAUUGGUGUUCUCAUCCGGACGAUUCCCUCUUCAGGCCGCUCUCUGGUGGUGUUUGGCAAUGGUAGAACUCACACUGGUGAGCUACGAGGAUCCGGUGGUUCUAGACUUGCCAACUACCGCUUGAGAGCCUCCACCCGCACCAACAUGGAGGAGCAAAGAAGCCGACCCUCCUGCAGUCCCCAAGUGGAAGACGAUGGAAGAGUGAGUGGCUGCUGGUGUUGAAGGGUGAGACCACGCUAUGUUCCUCCCCUGCACACCGCAGUCUCAAAGCUCCAGUCAACGCCUUUGGACCAGGUGACAGUGAAUGCAACACGGCACAAACAACAGGAUGAGGCCAGUUAAAACAGCUGCAAGGUGGGCGGUCACCUCAUCGUUCCCGGCCGAGUUGAGGAUGUCCGUGUCGUCGUAGGGGUCAUCGUCAGGCGAGGAAGUGGAGUCCUCAUCUGCGCUCAUCAUGGAUGUGUCGCCAAAGAUAAACCUGUUGGCUGACGGCGCUGGCCUCAAUGGUGGUCAUGUGCUCUGCCUGGUGAACAGCGUGAUCCUCCAUGACGGCUGGAUACAACGACUGGCGAAACAUAAGACGCAUGUCAUAAUGUAAGGAGACAGAUCAAAUCAAUUUCAUGUGCUUACAGUGUGGAUCAUGUGUGUACAGUUAGAUGCAGGCAUCACUGGAGACUUUAAAUCCAACAAAUAAAGUGGACUCACACUGUACAUUACAAUUGGAUUUAUUGUACCUUGUAAAUAGGCCUGGGCCUAAAAUUUCUAUCUCUGAUUUUUUUCACAAAAAAUUUAAUUUACGAUUUUUUUCCUCUACUUUUUAAACAUCUCAAUAGCUGCAAUUUUACAUUUAAAUAAACCAUUGAAUACAAAUUGCAUAAAUAAUUCAAAACCAGCUGUUUGUUUAUUUUAUCAAAAACUAGUAGAUUGAAAUAACA